GGUGUGACGAACUACCAUACAAACACGCCUACUGCCCCUGAUAAGUUUUGAGGAUAAAGGAUCUGUACCAAAUUAGGAUAGCAAAAUAUUAAAAAUUUGGAAGGUUGGCACAAAUAGACAUACUAAUAUUAUCCAAGUGCAAGGUUUUUCAGGGCUAGGUUUAAAACGUAUGAUAAAUUCAAAAUGGAAAUAUGCAGCAGGACAGACAAUUUUUGCAGAUAAAUAAAUUAUGGGUUGUAAUGCUUGUUUGAUUAACAGAAAUCUGGACAUGCAUUACAUGAAAUCAGAAUAAAGAUAAAUUAAUGAGCCCUUAGAAUUGUGGAAAAGGAGGGGAUUUUAUUCAUCACUAGUACACUAGAUACAUUUAUAAAUAUGUUUCUGUCAGUAUCUUUUAUGUUUUAAGAAUUAUCUUAUUCAUGUUAAGAAGAAAGGCAAGAAAAGGGGGAAGUACUUCAAUUGACACAAGAUGCUAGUCUUUAAAAUAUGUAUGUUUUGUUCCAGGCUAGCAUCUACUGGUACAAAACUACUAUAAACCUGUAAAUCUGGGACCAUUUUGGUCUUUAAGCUUUGGUGCUUACAGCCAUAAUUAUCUUGAAUGCAUCAUUGUGGUUCUGACUAUAGUAGAUACUUUGUUCUCUGGUUCAAGGGAAAAUUUGUCAAUGAUAAAUUUCAAAUAUUUAAUAAGUUCAACAAAUGUAAGAGCCACGCAUAUUUGUUCUGUGAUGUCCCGGUGAAAAACUUCUAUCUCAUGAAGCGACAAAGUCAAGCAGAAAUCAUCUGUUUCUGCUUUACAAAAGAUAAAAUUUGAGUCCUCUACAAGGUCUCUCAGAACGUUUCUUUCAAAGAAUAGCUGAAAAUUUGAUUUUUGAUAAAAUCCAUCUCCCUUAACCAAUUGAUUGCAGCAUAGGGAGAUGCUUUCCCCUGUCGGCCUCUUUGACAUUACUUUUGGCAGACUUUUUCUAUUCCAUGUCAUUUAAAUGUUUGCUCCCAAUACAGUGUAAGGCAAGCGCUUUUAAGAUCGUGAUUUGAAAUAAGUAAAGCCAGGAACAAACUCGGCGGAUACGAUCAAAUUCCGGCACAAUUUCGAUUUUUUUAAAUAAAAAAAAAUAAAUUUCUGAAACGCAAAUAAAAUUAUUUGGGCGGCAAGUUUUUCAGUGGGUCGGGCGGCAAUGCCAAACAAAUAAAAUUUUAUUUUAGGCC
rnacentral:lncRNA from 1 species